GCCUCUAUAGCACAGUGGUAGUGCGUGUCACUCGUAUACAAAAGUGUACACAUCCAUCCGGUCCCCAAGGGCCAGGAAGCGGUGAUGACAAGGUCGGGUGUUCGAUCCACCCUGGAGGCA
rnacentral:tRNA from 2 species